rnacentral:rRNA from 1 species
AACGAACGCUGGCGGCAUGCCUAACACAUGCAAGUCGAACGAGACCUUCGGGUUUAGUGGCGCACGGGUGCGUAACGCGUGGGAACCUGCCUUUAGGUUCGGAAUAACUCCCCGAAUGGGGUGCUAAUACCGGAUAAUGUCUUCGGACCAAAGAUUUAUCGCCUUUGGAUGGGCCCGCGUUGUAUUAGCUUGUUGGUAGCGUAAAAGCCUACCACGGCGACGAUCCAUAGCUGGUCUGAGAGGAUGAGCAGCCACACUGGGAGUGAGACACGGCCCAGACUCCUACGGGAGGCAGCAGUGGGGAAUAUUGGACAAUGGGCGAAAGCCAGAUCCAGCAAGGCCGCGUGAGUGAUGAAGGCCGUAGGGUUGUAAAGCUCUUUUACCCGGGAUGAUAAUGACAUUACCGGGAGAAUAAGCUCCGGCUAACUCCGUG